rnacentral:rRNA from 1 species
AUUGAACGCUGGCGGCAUGCCUUACACAUGCAAGUCGAACGGCAGCACGGGUGCUUGCACCUGGUGGCGAGUGGCGAACGGGUGAGUAAUACAUCGGAACAUGUCCUGUAGUGGGGGAUAGCCCGGCGAAAGCCGGAUUAAUACCGCAUACGAUCUACGGAUGAAAGCGGGGGACCUUCGGGCCUCGCGCUAUAGGGUUGGCCGAUGGCUGAUUAGCUAGUUGGUGGGGUAAAGGCCUACCAAGGCGACGAUCAGUAGCUGGUCUAGAGGACGACCAGCCACACUGGGACUGAGACACGGCCCAGACUCCUACGGGAGGCAGCAGUGGGGAAUUUUGGACAAUGGGCGAAAGCCUGAUCCAGCAAUGCCGCGUGUGUGAAGAAGGCCUUCGGGUUGUAAAGCACUUUUGUCCGGAAAGAAAUCCUUGGCUCUAAUACAGUCGGGGGAUGACGGUACCGGAAGAAUAAGCACCGGCUAACUACGUG